rnacentral:rRNA from 1 species
UACGGGGGGGGCAAGCGUUGUUCGGAAUUACUGGGCGUAAAGGGCGCGUAGGCGGUUGGGUAAGUCAGCUGUGAAAACCACGGGCUUAACUCGUGGCCUGCAGUUGAGACUGUCUGGCUUGAGGGUGGGAGAGGAGAGUGGAAUUCCUGGUGUAGCGGUGAAAUGCGUAGAUAUCAGGAGGAACACCGGUGGCGAAGGCGGCUCUCUGGACCGCAACUGACGCUGAGGCGCGAAAGCUAGGGGAGCAAACAGG